rnacentral:rRNA from 1 species
UUUCGCAAUGCCCGAAAGGGUGACGAAGCGACGCCGCGUGUGGGAAGAAGGCCUUCGGGUUGUAAACCACUGUCGGGAGUUAGGAAAUGCAGGUGCGUUAAUAGCGCACUUGCUUGACUAAGGCUCCAGAGGAAGCCACGGCUAGCUCUGUGCCAGCAGCCGCGGUAAUACAGAGGCGGCAAGCGUUGUUCGGAAUUAUUGGGCGUAAAGAGCACGUAGGCGGCCUUGCAAGUCAGUUGUGAAAGCCUUCCGCUUAACGGAAGAACGGCAUCUGAUACUACAGGGCUUGAGUACGGGAGGGGAGAGUGGAACUUCUGGUGGAGCGGUGAAAUGCGUAGAUAUCAGAAGGAACGCCGGCGGCGAAAGCGACUCUCUGGUCCGAAACUGACGCUGAGCGUGCGAAAGCUAGGGGAGCAAACGGGAUUAGAUACCCCGGUAGUCCUAGCCGUAAACGAUGGGCACUAAGUAGAGGGGUUUU